ACCUCAAAUUAGGUAAGGGUACCCGCUGAACUUAAGCAUAUCAAUAAGCGGAGGAAAAGAAACUAACCAGGAUUCCCUUAGUAACGGCGARUGAAGCGGGAAUGGCUCAAAUUUUAAAUCUGAUCGGUCCUCCGAUCCGAAUUGUAAUCUAAAGAAGCGUUUACAGCGUCCUCUCGGGUAUAGGUCCCUUGGAAUAGGGCAUCAUAGAGGGUGAGAAUCCCGUCUGUGACACGAGUUCGGGAUGCGAUACGUUACGCUUUCGACGAGUCGAGUUGUUUGGGAUUGCAGCUCAAAAUGGGUGGUAAAUUCCAUCUAAGGCUAAAUAAUUGCAAGAGACCGAUAGCGAACAAGUACCGUGAGGGAAAGAUGAAAAGAACUUUGAAAAGAGAGUUAAACAGUACGUGAAAUUGUUGAAAGGGAAACGAUUGAAGCCAGUCAUGCCGGUGGGAAAUCAGCUCCCGGGGUAACCAGGGAAGUGCACUUUCUCGCAAGGCAGGUUAGCGUCAGUUUCGCCAGUCGUAAAAAGUCCGUCGGAAGGUGGCUCCAUUCGGAGUGUUAUAGCCAGCGGUCAAUGCGACGUGCGGGAUUGAGGAUUGCAGCGGGUGCCCUUCGGGGCUAAGUGCCUGGCCCUUGUACGAGAUCGUCUCGGUAGCAGCAUGCUGGUGACGAGCACGAUUCGCGGACACGGGGUUUAGCGUCACGGUAAACUCGCUAAGGAUGCUGACGUAAUGGCUUUAAACGACCCGUCUUGAAACACGGACCAAGGAGUCUAACAUGUGUGCGAGUGUU
rnacentral:rRNA from 1 species